rnacentral:rRNA from 1 species
AGCACGAGCAAAACACCCGGUCCCAUCCCGAACCCGGCCGUUAAGUGCCGUCGCGCCAAUGGUACUGCGUCUCAAGACGUGGGAGAGUAGGUC